GAUUGCAAUUAUUUGCCGCUUGCGAUGACGAUUUGCAGGAGAUGUUGCGAUUAUUUGCCGUUUGCAAUCGCGAUUUGUGAUAUAUAUUGAAUAUCGCAGCGGUGGUGGGGACGUCURCUGGGAAUUAAAGCCCAGAGCCUGGUGGGAUCUGUCUCACCUUGCUUCGGGGACCUUGGUCCAAGGGAACGGCUUUAGGCGGCGCAAAACCCAACGGCGGCCUCUUGCAUCCGUCCGUCCCUCCAGGUCAACGGCAUCUUCACGCGCCCGCCGGCCGCCGUCUCCAAAGCCGCCUCGCUGAGCGUCGCGGGGGGCAACCUCACCGUCUCCCACUCCUCCGGCCUCCGGGUGCUCUUCAGCCCCGGCGGCGAGGUGACGGUGACCGUCGGCGCCCAGCUGGCCGGCCGGCUCUGCGCGCCCUGCGGCGACUUCAACGGCGACGCCGGCGACGACCUGGUGCUGCCCGACGGCCGGGCUGCCCGCAGCCUCGCCGAGGUGGUGGACGCCUGGAGAGCCAAGGACUUCGCCGGAUGGUGAGUGCCGUCCCCCUCCCAAAAAACCCCCCCGCCGCGACGCUGCUUUUGGGCAAACCAGAGGGCAAAGAGCGACCUCCGGGUCCGGCAAGGGCGUCUCCAUCUUCUCUGGUUUCGUCCACAGCGACUGACGCUCAAAACCGAGGAAAUUACGCCCCCGCAUCGCGGCCCGCAGGCGGACCGAAGUCGAAGCCCCCGUCUACCCGGAGCAGUAGGCGCGACCCACCUCCGCGGGGGCUCGCCGCGGCCGGAGGCAUCUGCGGGCGGAUGUAGCA
rnacentral:lncRNA from 1 species